rnacentral:rRNA from 1 species
GUGGGGAAUAUUGGGCAAUGGGGGAAAGCCUGACCCAGCAACGCCGCGUGAAGGAAGAAGGUUUUCGGAUCGUAAACUUCUAUCCUUGGUGAAGAUAAUGACGGUAGCCAAGAAGGAAGCCCCGGCUAACUACGUGCCAGCAGCCGCGGUAAUACGUAGGGGGCAAGCGUUGUCCGGAAUGAUUGGGCGUAAAGGGCGAGUAGGCGGCCCGGUAAGUCUGAAGUGAAAGUCCUGCUUUUAAGGUGGGAAUUGCUUUGGAUACUGUCGGGCUUGAGUGCAGGAGAGGUAAGCGGAAUUCCCGGUGUAGCGGUGAAAUGCGUAGAGAUCGGGAGGAACACCAGUGGCGAAGGCGGCUUACUGGACUGUAACUGACGCUGAGGCGCGAAAGUGUGGGGAGCAAACAGGAUUAGAAACCCGUGUAGUCC